GACGAACCGAGCGAACGUUGUUCGGAAUCACUGGGCUUAAAGGGCGCGUAGGCGGGUGCUCAAGUCCGGGGUGAAAUCCUCCAGCUCAACUGGAGAACUGCCUCGGAUACUGGGUGCCUCGAGGGUGGUAGGGGUAUGCGGAACUAUCGGUGGAGCGGUGAAAUGCGUUGAUAUCGAUAGGAACUCCGGUGGCGAAGGCGGCAUACUGGACCACCUCUGACGCUGAGGCGCGAAAGCCAGGGGAGCAAACGGG
rnacentral:rRNA from 1 species